rnacentral:rRNA from 1 species
CCUUUCAGGAAUCAAAAGAAUGGAAGGUCCCCAGUUAGAAUACUUUGGGCCGUUUCCAUUUCCAUUUUUUGGCCUCCCAUCCAACCAGGGUUCCCGGUGAAAUUAAGCAAUUCCAUUAGCGGGAGAAAAGGAACCCACCGGGAAUGCCUUAGUAGGGGGGGGGGGACCGGCCAGAAGUUAAGUUUGAAAACCUUUUGGGGCCUUGUUUUUUGGAACCUUGGUCCUGGGGAACCGAUGUCUAAGUCUUCUGGAAAGGAGCGCCAUGGAGGGUGAUAGCCCCGUACGACAUUGACCCCACUGUAGGACUUUGGCAUGGAGUCGAGUUGUUUGGGAAUGCAGCUCAAAUGGGUGGUAUGCUCCAUCUAAAGCUAAAUAUCUGCGAGAGACCGAUAGCGAACAAGUACUGUGAAGGAAAGAUGAAAAGAACUUUGAAAAGAGAGUGAAAAAGUAUGUGAAAUUGUUGAAAUGGAAGGGUAGGCCGCUAACCAUGCAGAGUCGUGUUUGGGGGGAGGAUAAAAGCUGAAGAACGUAGCUCCUAGGAGUGUUAUAGCUUCAGUUCAUACUCCCACCCGAGCGCGAGGACCUAAGA